rnacentral:rRNA from 1 species
GAAGUUGGAGUCGCUAGUAAUCGCAGAUCAGCAACGCUGCGGUGAAUACGUUCCCGGGCCUUGUACACACCGCCCGUCACGUCAUGAAAGUCGGUAACACCCGAAGCCGGUGGCCUAACCCCUUGUGGGAGGGAGCCGUCGAAGGUGGGAUCGGCGAUUGGGACGAAGUCGUAACAAGGUAGCCGUACCGGAAGGUGCGGCUGGAUUACCUCCUUU